rnacentral:rRNA from 1 species
UACGUAGGGUGCAAGCGUUAAUCGGAAUUACUGGGCGUAAAGCGUGCGCAGGCGGUUUUGUAAGUUUGUCGUGAAAUCCCCGGGCUCAACCUGGGAAUGGCGAUGAAGACUGCAAGGCUAGAAUCUGGCAGAGGGGGGUAGAAUUCCACGUGUGAGCAGUGAAAUGCGUAGAGAUGUGGAGGAACACCGAUGGCGAAGGCAGCCCCCUGGGUCAAG